rnacentral:rRNA from 1 species
AGUCAACAUGCCCAGGGGACGUGGAUAACCUCGGGAAACUGAGGAUAAACCACGAUAGGUCAUAAUAUCUGGAAUGAUUUAUGGCUAAAAUCUACAUGGCCUCUGGAUUGGACUGCGGCCGAUCAGGCUGUUGGUGAGGUAAUGGCCCACCAAACCUAAAACCGGUACGGGCUCUGAGAGGAGAAGCCCGGAGAUGGGCACUGAGACAAGGGCCCAGGCCCUAUGGGGCGCAGCAGGCGCGAAAACUCUGCAAUAGGCGAAAGCUUGACAGGGUUAUUCUGAGUGAUUUCCGCUAAGGAAAUCUUUUGGCACCUCUAAAAAUGGUGCAGAAUAAGGGGUGGGCAAGCCUGGUGUCAGCCGCCGCGGUAAUACCAGCACCCCGAGUGGUCGGGACGAUUAUUGGGCCUAAAGCAUCCGUAGCCGGUUCUACAAGUCUUCCGUUAAAUCCAUCUGCUUAACAGAUGGGCUGCGGAGGAUACUAUGGAGCUAGGAGGCGGGAGAGGCAAGCGGUACUUAGUGGGUAGGGGUAAAAUCCGUUGAUCCACUGAAGACCACCAGUGGCGAAGGCGGCUUGCCAGAACGCGCUCGACGGUGAGGGAUGAAAGCUGGGGGAGCAAAC